rnacentral:tRNA from 1 species
GUGUGUAUAGUGUAAUAAUAACACUCUAGCUUUUCAUGCUAAAAAUAUACAUCGUAUUACACAUC